ACAUUUUUUUUUUUCAAAUGUAAAAUGACAGGUUUAAUCAAUUAAUUCCAAUUGGAUAUUUAAGCAAAAAGAUGUUUGUAUAUAUUUUGGUUCUUUAUUUACCGGGCUAACCAGUUUUUCUAGAAAUUAAAGAAAAAAAAUAAAUCUUUCAUUCUUUGGAAUUUUUUUUAAAUUUAACUUAACUGAUGUUUUUACUAAACAAUCGAUUUACGUUCAAAAUAACAAUCUGGUAAUACCGGUUGUUGCCUACUUAACACCGCUGCUGCUCAUUAAAAAACGCGAUCACCACUUUUAUUUUGCUGAGUGUUCCUGAUGUUGAUUAUUUAUAUUUAUAUUUUUAUUUGUUCAGCACUCCUCUGAUUUUACUUUGCAAAAAAAAAUAUGCUUUAACCAUCGAAAUCGAAAUCGCUGUCUUAUCAAAAUAAAAAUACAAAAAGAAAGAAAACAAAAAAAAUCAAUUUCUCAAUAAUGUCAAACUGUCACUGAUACACACUCAUUAAAUAAGAACAGGAAAUAAAAUUAUGUACUUACUGCUGGAUCCUCCUUCCUUCACGGCAUAAGACACAUUAUGGAAUCCCAAAUCAACAGCAGGACGUUUAGGCAGAUGCUGUAAUGUUUUUGGUUGAGCUGGAACAAUUUGCGCCUUAACCACAGCACCGGAAUUCCUAUUAUCGUUUAAUAGAACAUUAGUUGCACUAUCGUUUUGCACCAUUUUGAUUGAUUUUUAUUAUAAAAUUGUUUUUAAAAA